ACUUUCCAUUUGUUGCAACAUAUCCUUCGGGUUUUUAUAACUUUCCAUACUAUGAGACGGUUUAUAUAUCUCAAAUGAUAGCAACAAGUAUUUGUGGUUUGAUGAUUCUUGCAACCGACACUUUAAUUGCAAGUGCUUUACUCCACACAUGUGGUCAUUUUCAAAUACUUAAAGAGAAUUUAAAGCAAGUAGACUCAGAUAUUUACUGUGUAAGUAUAACAUCAUUUAUGUUACGCCCCAACUAAACAAUGAUCUAAAAAGAUAUGAUAUUUUAUAGUUGAAUAAUUUAAAAAAUAAUUCAGAAAGCAUAAGUGCAAUUUCGUGCAGAAUAAAGAUUCAAAUAGCGCACAUUAUUAAGCAUCAUCAAGUGAUACUUUGGUAAGUCAACUUAAUACUUGUAUGUAAGUGAUUCUCUUAUUCAGUCUAAUAAAAUUUAGGUUUUGUGACAAUAUGGAAAAAAAUUUUCAUCUGAUGCUGUUACUGCAAACUCUGGCCAGUAGUCUCAUAUUCUGUUUUGUCGGUUUACAAGUUUCUACAGUAAGGACAAUUUUAAAACUUCUUACUAACUUUAAAACUUCUAUUAUAGAUUACUUUGAUUAUAGACAUUAAUGGAUCAAUCUAAGUUAAUGAGAUAUGGUUCUCAUUUAAUAAUGGCAGUGUUCCAAUUACUGCUUUUCUGUUUGCCUGGGGAUAUGUUAAUCUCUCAGGUAAAAUGAAUUUCAAACGAACGUGAAUCAUAUUAUUCAAUACAAAAUGAAAUUUUUAAUUUGAAAUUAUUACGUAUUGUAACAGAGUAGUGGCAUACGUCAAGCUGUGUAUUCUAUACAAUGGUAUAGAUUAUCCACUUCUAUCAGGUGUGAAACAUGGAUGAUCAUGUUACGUUCGCAAAAACCUAGUUACAUUACAGCAGGGAAACUGUAUAUUAUGCAUUUAGAAAACUUCAGUGCGGUAAAAGUUGAUUUACAUAUCUACGUAUAAAAUCAUAUAAAAUUUUUAAUAUUAUGAUACUGCUUACGAUGUACAAACAUUACAUACAUUAUUUCUAUACAUUUUGCAGACUCUCAGUACUGCACUAUCAUAUUUCAUGAUGUUCCGUAGCUUCGGUUUGGAAGCUUAAGACUCAAGAAUUGGUUUUUAUAAUUAGAAAUAUUUGACGAAUAACUAUAUUACAUACAAACGUUGAAUGGUCAAGUAUCCUGUUGUACACUCAUUACAUGUACGCACCCCAACCGAAAUACAUUUGACAAAGAUUAUCUAA